UUUUUAUUUUAUUUUUUAUUUUUAAAAAAAGAGCUAAAAAUUUAUUUAAAAAUAACAGCAAAGCAAUGCCUGAGUACCUCAGUGGUUGAGCAUCUACCUUUGGCUCAGGGCGUGAUCCCAGGGUCCUGGAAUUGAGUCCAGCGUUGGGUUCCCCAGAAGAAGCCUGCUUUUCCCUCUGCCAUGUCUCUGCCUCUCUCUGUGUGUCUCUCAUGAAUAAAUAAAUAAAUAAAAUCUUUUUUUUUAAAAAAAAGCCCAAAACUCCCCAGCCCAACCCAGAUGUCAGAAUUAACACAAUGCAAUUAACAUUAGAAAUUAAUAAAAAAGGAAAAAAUAAAUUGGGGGACUAAGCAGACACCGAGCUCAGCUCAGAUCCUAGCACUUCCUCUACAAUUUUGAUACAGGUGUAUGGUAGCAAUGUAGGGAAUUACUUCUAAUACUCCAAAUCUCAAGAGAACAGAAUUGGUGGCUAUUACUAUAUUUUCUUAUUUUUUAUGGAAGUGUAAAGGAAGUUACUGGUGGAGAGAAAAUGGUAAAUUAGAGAUUAAAAAUACCAAGAAUGAUUAUAGAGGCAAAGGUUCUUAUAAUACACACCGACAUUAAGCAAAGUUAGAAAAUCAAAACUCAAGUUAUUUGUCACAUUGAAGCAGACAUAGACUCCAUAUAUGUUGAAAAAAUACUAGCAGGAGCACUUUAAAAAUACAAUACCAGAAGGAAAGUUAAGAUCUGGCAUUCUACCAAAGACAAUAUGCUUUUAUGUGGUCACUUCCACUUGGAUCCCCCAUUCUACUGCCCCCACUCAAUCAUUUCUUCAAGGUAUGUAAAAAUAAAUAGAAAAGAGCACAGCACAGGCUUUCAGGUACGAGUCAGAUAGAGGGAAAGGAAGUCAUGUAUAGAGUGUGAAAAGAACUGAGAAAUCUGUCAUACUGUAUCAAAACAAAAGAAAGUACUGAACAGAAGGCUAACAAGGUGAGUUAAAGAACCUGGCAAUUACACAAACAUAAUGUUGAAGUAGAAAACCAACAGAAUAUAAGAACCAUGUUAUUAAUGAGACAAAUAAACAUAAUAAAGAAACUUUGUAAAAAAGAUUUUAUUUAUUUAUUUUUUGAGAUACAGAGAGAGAACAAGCAGAAAGGAGCAGUAGAGAGAGAGGGAGAGAAACAGACUCCCCACUGAGCAGGAAGCCCCCAAAGGGGACUCAAUUCCAGGACCCAGAGAUCAGGACCUGAGCUAAAAGACACUUAACUAACGAAGGCUUCUUAACAAAACUAAGUUAUGUUUUAUUAUUCUUUAAAUAACUAAGGCUUCUUCAACCUUCAAAAAAAUUAAUAAAAUUGCAUCAUAUCAACACACUAAAGAACAACCAUAUGAUCACAUUAAGAUUCAGAAAUAACAGUGGACAGGGAUGCCUGAGUGACUCAAUCAGUUGACUUCAGCUUAAGUCAUGAUCUCAGGGUCAUGAAUCAAGCCCCACAUCAGCUUCUGCACUCAGAAGGGAAUCUGCUUUAGAUUCUCUUUCUCCUUCUCCCUCUGUCCCUCCCUCCACUCUCUCUCUCUCUCCUUCUUACUCAAAUAAAUAAAUAAAUAAAAUCUUUAGAAAUAACAAUGGACAAAAUACAGCACCCAUUCAUAAUAAAAAUAAAGAGAAAUAUGCAAAUAUUUUAAACAUAAUUUUUCAUUAGGCAAUUACAAACUAAAACAAUAAUCAGAUACUACCACACACCUAUUAGAAUGACCCAACACACACACACACACACACACACAAAAAAAAAAAAAAAAAAAAAACCUGAAAAGACAGUUUGACAGUUCCUUACUAAGUCUUAGUCUUAUCAUGACUGAGCAAUUAAUCCACUUGAGUUGAAAACUUAUGUUUAUGCAAAAAAUUGAAUGCAAAUAUUUAUGGCAUAUUUGCCAGAAACAGGUAUUUUUAAAUUCAUAAUUGCCAGAAAUAGAAGAAUGUGUAUUCAGUUGAGUUUGGAUGUAAAGUUCUAUCGAUAUCUGUGAAAUCCACCUGGUCCAGCGUAUAAUUUAAAGCUCUCGUUUCUUUGGAGAUGAUGUGUUUAGAAGACCUAUUGGGUAUAGAAAGAGCUAGAUUGAAGUCACCAAGUAUAAGUGUAUUGUUAUCUAAGUAAUUCUUCACUUUGGUUAUUAAUUGAUUUAUAUAUUUGGCAGCUCCCACAUUCGGGGCAUAUAUAUUGAGGAAGGUUAAGUCCUCUUGUUGGAUAGAUCCUUUAAGUAUGAUAUAGUGUCCCUCUUCAUCUCUCACUACAGUCUUCGGGUAAAUUUUAGUUUAUCUGAUAUAAAGAUGGCUACCCCUGCUUUCUUUUGAGGACCAUUUGAAUGGUUCUCCAACCUUUUAUUUUCAGGCUGUAGGUGUCAUUCUGUCUAAAAUGAGUCUCUUGUAGACAGCAAAUAGAUGGGUCCUGCUUUUUUAUCCAGUCUGACACCCUGCGCCUUUUGAUGGGGUCAUUAAGCCCGUUCACGUUCAGAGUUACUAUUGACAGCUAUGAGUUUAGUGUCAUCAUGAUAUCUAUUCAGUCCUUGUUUUUGUGGAUUGUUUUCUGAACUUCUUCAUUCCAGAAAAGACAAAAUCUAUAGAGACAGUAAAAAGAUCAGAGAUUUCCAGGGAUUUGCUCAGAGGGGCAAGUUACCAAUAGGUAAAGCACAAAGGAUAUUUUAGGACAGCAAAACUACUCUCUAUGAUAUGAUAAUGAUGGAUAUAUGAUUCUAUGCAUUUGCAUUUGUCGAAAUUCACAGAACGGUAGAACAUUUCCCCAAGUUGGAAAAACUGUGAUGUCAGGGCACACCCUUCCAGGUUGCCAAGUCUACCAAAGAUUUUUGGCCCCAACUGCAAGAGGUUAGGGUCCACAUAUCAAGUUUGAAGGCACAGUUUCCACAUAAGACCACUCUCAUGUCUGAUACCAACUACAUUCGGGGUUUCCAAAAUGACUUUCUCAAAAAUUGUUAGCAAGUUACACAUAUGUCACUGAGACCCAUUGUAUUUAUAAAUACACUUAUUAAAGAGAAAGGAUACAUUAAAAUCAGCCAAGGAAAGAGACACGUAGGGCAAAGACUCAGAAGUUCCAAAUAUGAAGCUUGCAUUGUUUUCAGAAUGUAUUUCUCUCUCGGUAUUGAUGUGUGACAAACAGCAUAGAGUAUUGCCACCCUGGGCAUCUCACCUGUACUUCAGUGUCCACAGGCUUCCUUACCUAAGCAUGAUUGGUUGAUUGUCUACAAUUGAGCCUAGAAUCUAGGUUGACCUGAUAUUGUGUUACCCAAAGCCCACAACAAAUCAUAUGAUUGGCCUUUCUGGCACUUCCCAUCCUAAGAAUGUUGAGUGUAGUAGCAGGCAGCACUGAGUAGUUAUCUUCUUAGUAUAAACUAUCAGCUGUGCUCAAAGGGGUUUGUCAUUGAUAACAAAGAUAUUCCUAUCACUCAGAAUAUUCCAAGGGUUUAGAGGUUACCUAUCAGAAGACUGGAAAAAGGCCAGACUCCUCUUAGAAUGAGGCCACAUUCUUUACUGACAAACACAAAGAGUGAAUUUUAAUGUACAAAAAUGUUUUAAAAUCAUCUUAGUGGUCAGGAGAAACUAGGAUGAGAUCCAAAACAUGACAAUGAUGUCACUGAAGAUUGUAGGGAAAAAGUUGCAGGUUUAAAAAACUUUGGAUGCCAGUGGAGUGUCUUCAACUAAAAGCUUAAGAUGCAAAAGGACCUGCACAUAAGCAGUAUGGUGCAAUCAUUGAUGUUUGCCCCAGGGGUGAUGCUUAACAAUUCUGAUACUGCUGUGAAUGUAUAUAAGAAUUGAAUAAGUCAGAAAAUGGUAGGGGACAGAUCUUACUCUGGGAGAGAGGAUUUACAUAUA
rnacentral:lncRNA from 1 species